UAUUGGGCAAUGGGCGCAAGCCUGACCCAGCAACGCCGCGUGGAGGGAGAAGGUCUUCGGAUUGUAAACUUUCGUCUUAUGGGACGAUAAUGACGGUACCAUAGGAGGAAGUCACGACUAACUACGUGCCAGCAGUCGCGGUAAUACGUAGGUGGCAAGCGUUAUCCGGAAUUAUUGGGUGUAAAGGGUGCGUAGGCGGGAUGUAAAGUCAGAUGUGAAAUGCCGCAGCUUAACUGCGGAGCUGCAUUUGAAACUUAUGUUCUUGAGUGAAGUAGAGGCAAGCGGAAUUCCUAGUGUAGCGGUGGAAUGCGUAGAUAUUAGGAGGAACACCGGUGGCGAAGGCGGCUUGCUGGGCUUUUACUGACGCUGAGGCACGAAAGUGUGGGGAGCAAACAGG
rnacentral:rRNA from 1 species